rnacentral:rRNA from 1 species
UACGGGGGGGGUAAGCAUUGUUCGGAAUUACUGGGCGUAAAGAGCGUGUAGGCGGCUCGAUAAGUCUGCUGUGAAAGUCCAGGGCUCAACCCUCGAAUGCCGGUGGAUACUGUCGGGCUAGAGUGCGGAAGAGGUGAGUGGAAUUCCCAGUGAUAGCGGUGAAAUGCGUAGAUAUUGGGAGGAACACCAGUGGCGAAGGCGGCUCACUGGACCGGUUCUGACGCGUGAGGCGGCGAAAGCGUCGGGGAGCAAACGGG